CCUACGGGAGGCAGCAGUAGGGAAUAUUGCUCAAUGGGGGAAACCCUGAAGCAGCAACGCCGCGUGGAGGAUGAAGGUUUUCGGAUUGUAAACUCCUUUUGUUAGAGAAGAGAAUGACGGUAUCUAACGAAUAAGCACCGGCUAACUCCGUGACAGCAGCCGCGGUAAUACGGAGGGUGCAAGCGUUACUCGGAAUCACUGGGCGUAAAGAGCGCGUAGGCGGGAUAGCAAGUCAGAUGUGAAAUCCUAUGGCUUAACCAUAGAAUUGCAUCUGAAACUGUUAGUCUAGAGUAUAGUAGCGGUAGGCGGAAUGCUUGGUGUAGCGGUGAAAUGCUUAGAGAUCAUGCAGAACACCCAUUGCGAAGGCAGCCUACCAGACUACUUCUGACGUUGAGGCGCGAAAGCGUGGGGAGCAAACAGGAUUAGAUACCCCUGUAGUC
rnacentral:rRNA from 1 species